GCCGCGGUAAUACGGGGGAUGCAAGCGUUAUCCGGAAUCAUUGGGCGUAAAGCGCCUGUAGGUUGUUUAAUAAGUCCGUUGUUAAAGACUAGGGCUUAACCCUAGAAAAGCGAUGGAAACUACUAGACUUGAGUAUGGCAGGGGUAGAGGGAAUUUCUAGUGUAGCGGUGAAAUGCGUAGAUAUUAGAAAGAACACCGGUGGCGAAAGCGCUCUACUGGACCAUUACUGACACUCAGAGGCGAAAGCUAGGGUAGCAAAAGGGAUUAGAUACCCCUGUAGUCCUAGCCGUAAACGAUGGAUACUAGAUGUUGUAUAUAUUUUACAGUAUCGUAGCUAACGCGUUAAGUAUCCCGCCUGGGGAGUACGCUCGCAAGGGUGAAACUCAAAGGAAUUGACGGGGGCCCGCACAAGCGGUGGAGCAUGUGGUUUAAUUCGAUGCAACGCGAAGAACCUUACCAGGGCUUGACAUACUGCGAAUCUUUUUGAAAGGAAAGAGUGCCUUCGGGAAUGCAGAUACAGGUGGUGCAUGGCUGUCGUCAGCUCGUGUCGUGAGAUGUUGGGUUAAGUCCCGCAACGAGCGCAACCCUUAUUUUUAGUUACCAAUUUACUUGGGUUCUCUAGAAAGACUGCCGGUGACAAACCGGAGGAAGGUGAGGAUGACGUCAAGUCAGCAUGCCCCUUAUGUCCUGGGCUACACACGUGCUACAAUGGUUGGGACAAAGAGUUGCAAGUUUGCAAAAACAAGCUAAUCUCAUAAAC
rnacentral:rRNA from 1 species